AGAGGGAUAGCUGGGUCAAAUAGGUCAGUUUUCUAAGAAAUCUCCAUACUGCUUUCCAUAUUGGCUGCACCAAUUUGCAGUCCCACCAGCAGU
rnacentral:pre_miRNA from 1 species